GGUCUAUUAGGUUAAUUUAUUUAAACUUUCAGUUUGUGGUGCUGGAGAUUUACUAUUAGAAGUAAUAAGGCUA
rnacentral:tRNA from 1 species